rnacentral:lncRNA from 1 species
UUCAAGAACAAAAAAAUUUCUGCUCUAUUUGCUGAGAGCCCAUACGAGAAGGUUUUCUUGAAUAAAUACUGCAAAGAAUACACUUCAACUACAGCAGCCUAUAAAUUUGGAGGAUUGGGAUUUGUCAGUGCCUAAAACUUCUUAUUUUGGACAAUUUACUUUUACAAAAAGUUAAUAGUUGUCUUUUCAAAGUACAUUAGUAUCUAUUUUAGUUUUGCAUACUCAUGUUUGGUUUCAUGCUCUAUGAUUUUGCAGGUUUUUCAAAAAGACGAUCCAAUGGCAAAAGACUUUUCUGAAGCAAUUUUAACACUGGCAGAAAAUGGAAAAUUAAAAGAUUUGGAAAAUAUAUGGUUAACACCUUCCAAUAAAUGCUCAAACAACUCACCAUCUCCAGAAGAAACUGAGAGUCUGACUCUUGACAAAUUUUGGGGACUCUAUGUCAUAUGUGCUGCCACAUCCACCAUCUGCUUACUACUAGCUUUGUUGAAGAAGCGUUUACGUAACCAUAACCACUAUGAAGAAGCUGAUCAACUUCCUCAAGGAAGUGUAAUCUCCGAAUCUGAUGAUGAUAAUAAUAAUAAUUCUCAGAGAGCAAUUAGAGUUGGUACAGGUUUAAACAUUGAGAAUCUCAUUAAAUUAAAUAAAUCUGCAACUUUUGGUGGACGUGUAAAAGAAGGUGUACGUCGUAGAAAUUCACCAAAAUUGGAGAGUAUAAGCAUUUCUGAUGAACAGGGCGAUCUUCCUCACUCCCAAUCAGCUGCCAUGCCAUAGAAAUGAUAUAAUUCAUAUUAUGUAAUAGCUAACCAUAUACAUUCCAACUUUUAUGUGUUUAAUUUUAACAAUUGUAGUAGUAGCAAUUAUGAAAACCCUAUAGUAAUUUUAACACAAAUAUAUGUAUUUUAAAGUUAGUAUCUAAUGUGAUUCGUUUCAUCAGUCUCCUCCUGAAAAACAUGCAAUAUCAUCAGUUCUUCACCUCACUAUAUAUGAUUCAGUAUGGGAAAAAAGUUCUUCCUACAAUAAGCGCAAUGCUGCACUUGCAAAAUUCAACUAUUACAAUGUAUGGUCAAGAGACAUUUUAAAUUUCUUGCACAAGGGAUUAUAUAUCACUCUACAUUUGUCUUCAUUCUCAGCCAUCUAUUUUGAGGUAUACAUCUUUAUUUUUAUGUAAUUAAAGUAUGACAUUUCACAAAGGUACUAAAAAAUGAUAAAUAUAAGGCUGAUAAUUGCAGGACAAUCAUUUUCACAUAUUUUAACAUUGAGUAUGCAUGUUGAAUUAUAUGACCAGUUCCUCCGGGGGAAUGUAUAUACUUACAAAUUUUCAGACUCAAAUUUCCUAUUCAGAUUCUAAAGUCAUUUAUUAUGAUCUAUUGUCCUAAAUUUUGUGGCCACAUAUCAAAGCCUAAAUGUCAUUAGUUUGAGGUCCACUUCUCAUAGCUGGCCAAUCCAACAAGAAUCUGUGUUUCCAAGAAGCAUCCAUUUUUGAUGAUCUUUCAACUUAUCUCUAGAAAUGACAUAAAAUUAACACUAAAUGAAAUUAAGAUUACCAUUUUGACUGGAUCAACUUAUCUCUAGUUGAUUUAAAGACGUUAUUUUCUGAUUUUUUAUUUUAUAAUUCAAUAAAUUAAACUUGAAUCUAGACCAUCUGAUUUUGAACAGACUACCAUCAUUUUGAAUGUGUGGAUGCAGGAAAUCCCGACAGCAAGGAAUCCUAAAUUUCAAAUCUUUUAGAAGACUUACAUCCUAAAUUUAGAAAAUAUAAUCUUUUGUCCUAUCAUACACUUGUGUGUCGGUAUGAGACAAUAAGCACGCGUUCUUACAUGUGGCACGAGAGUGUUUGUCAUUUUUGAAGUAUGAAUUCAUAUUUCUAUCAACUACUUAGUAUUCUUAAUUUUAUUUUGAAUGCGGAUCAAACUCUCCACCUCUCUAUCGCUCCACUUUUUGUCUCCUAAAUUCCAACUAUCAAACCACCCUUACUCUUACUUGGAUUUAACAUUAGUUUUUCCCUAAUAGGUUUUCCAAUAAGCAGAUAAAACUUAGGUGUAAUGCUGCACAUAUUUUGGUCUUAUUGUUCCUCAUACAAAAGUACAGCUUUUAUUUAAUUAAGGAGACUUUUAGAACAAUAAUCCGGCUUAACAGAGUAAAGAAACAAUAGACGCAAACAAUGAGCACGCUGUAUGCUAACAAAGUUUGGCUAAUAUUAAUUACACCCUGAACUACAUUUUCUUUUUAUUACCUCUAAACUGUACCGCAGAUGACUUCCAACCCCACAAAAAAUGAUUGGACCAAGCCUAAGGACAUGUUUCUCUUGCUUUCCUCAAUAGACCCUUUCCGCUUAUCAACAACUAUGAAUCAUAUUCAACAUUGACAAUUUCUAUCGCAUCUAACAUAAUUUGUGACAGUUCUACUCUAUUUUUAGUGAAUAAUAUUAAGAGCAGUGUCUAAACUCUAGAGCACUGUUUCUAAGUUUUCACCAUCUCUAAAUCCAAGAUUUAUCCCAUCUAACAAAUCGUUGAUCCUUACAAUUACUUUUCCCUCCCUUAUGAGGUGUUAUGACUAGCCUUCCUUCUAAUAACUCAGCAACUUGCAAGCCUUGCUUAUUCUCUUCUUAUACCCAACUUUGUCUCCAAGUAUGGAGUCAACAUCAUAAUUGACAAAGUCAAACAUUAAAUUUCCAUGAAACAACCAAAGUAACUCCAAAAAUCCUCGGCAUUGAGUAAUAUUAAUUCCUCUAGGUAAUCAUGUAAUAUAUAGGCAGCUAGUCCCUGCACAGUUUCCAACAAAGGCUAGUAGAUUAUGUGAGCAAAAGAUAUUGCAGCAAAAUGCAUUGCCUUUCAACUAUUCCUCAAGCACUAGCAAGAGUUUGGCUAUUCUUUUUCUUACUCACUCCUUCUGUUCUCAUUUUUGGUUUCCGAGAUGAGACAAACAAAGUUAUAUCCAUUGGGGUGACCAUUGAUGUUAAUUCUCGUAUUGGGAAAGAACAAGAAGUAGCCAUGGAAAUUGCAGCCCAGAAAUACAACAUCGCUUCAAAGGAAUACAACCUGGCUCUCUAUUUUCAGAACUCUGCCAAGGAUACCCUCAGGGCCAUCACACUUGGUUAGUACAUCUAGUAUUUUUUGAGAAAAAAAACAUUAAACUUUCUUACAUGUGUAUAAUGAAGCAUGUGAGAUCUUUAAUUGCAGCUGAAGAGAUGAUUAAGGUGCAAAAGGUGCAAGUGAUUAUAGGGAUGCACACAUGGCCAGAAGCAGGUAUAGUAGCUGAAAUAGGAAGCAAAGCUCAAGUUCCUAUCAUAUCCUUUGCAGCACCUACCAUAAUGCCACCAUUGAUGAAAACUCGAUGGCCUUUUCUGGUGGGACAAGCAAACAAAGGUACAUCAUAUAUAAAAUGCAUUGCAGACAUAGUGCAGGCAUAUAGCUGGAAAAGAGUAGUAGUAAUCUACGAAGAUGACGGGUACGGGGGAGAUUAUGGGAUGCUAGCUCUGCUAGCUGAGGCCCUUCAGGAUGUGGAUUCAAUGAUUGAACACCGCUUAGUCCUUCCCCCAAUCUCUUCUAUACAUGAUCCAGGAGAGUUAGUUAGUGAAGAGAUGAUUAAGUUAAAACAAGCACAAUCUCGGGUGUUCAUAGUGCUGCAAUCAUCGUUAGAAAUGACAAUCCAUUUGUUCAAAGAAGCUUCAAAAGUUGGACUGGUGGGUAAAGAAUCAGUUUGGAUAAUCCCAGAGAGCGUAACAAAUUUGAUGGACUCUGUCGAUAAAUCUGCUAUUUCCUAUAUGGAAGGAGCUUUAGGAAUUAAAGCCUACUACUCAGAGAGAAGCAAGGAUUAUCAAGACUUUGAGGCUCAGUUCAGGAGAACUUUUUGGUUAAAGAAUCCAGAGGAAGAUAACCGAUACCCAGGAUUUUAUGCUCUACAAGCAUAUGAUAGCAUUAAUAUUGUAACUCAAGCAAUCGACAGAAUGACCAGUAGAAACAAUAGCAGCCCAAAGAGUUUGCUAAGAGAAAUACAGUCUAGCAAUUUCGUUGGUUUGAGUGGCCAUAUUCAACUUGAAGAUGAACAACUCAUGCAGAAGAAUCUUGUAUUAAGAAUUGUAAAUGUGGCUGGGAAGAGUUACAAGGAAUUAUGCUUUUGGACUCAACAACAUGGCUUCACAACAGUCCUCCAUACCGGACAAGGUGGAAACAAGGUUGCUGGAAAUACAGAAUGUUUCAGGGGUGUACGCUGGCCUGGGAAUUUGGACCGCGAUCCAAAGGGGUGGAACAUGCCUACCAAACAAUAUCCAUUGAAAAUUGCAGUCAGAAGCAGAACCUCGUUUUACAAGUUUGUCAAGGUUGAGUAUGGCCAUAAUGGAAAGGAUGAUAAAUAUAGUGGAUUUUGCAUUGACAUUUUCGAGCAAGUACAGAAACUUCUGGGGUACGAUCUUCCAUAUAAAUAUCAUGCCAUCAAUGGAACCUAUAACGAUUUGGUUCAGCUUGUCUAUAACAAGGUAUUAAAUCUAUUUUUCUUUGAAAUCAAAUGUUUAAUUUUGGUUUCUAUGAUUAUCAUUGUCCUCCCUAUCAAAUAUGACAAAGAUACUUAUAGUUAGCGAUUAGGAAUAACUAAUAAUAUGUACUAAAUGCAACUUAAUUACUUUGAAAUUUGAGAAACAAUAUUUUUUUAUUUAUUGAUUACGAUUUUUUGUUUAUGUGUGGUUAAACAAUAAUGGAAGACUUUUGAUGCUGUUAUUGGAGACAUGACCAUAAUAGAGGAAAGAUUGAAGUAUGUGGAUUUUACAGUGCCAUAUGCAGAAUCAGGAUUGUCAAUGAUAGUUCCAAUGAAGUCUGGAGAAUCAGCAUGGAUGUUUAUGAAGCCAUUUACCUGGGAAUUGUGGCUGGUUACAGAUGCAAUCUUGAUUUACACAAUGUUAGUUGUUUGGUAUCUUGAGAGAGAACCCAACCCAGAGUUCCAUGGAAACUGGAAGCUCCAGCUCAGCACAGCCUUUUGGUUUACUUUUUCCUCUCUGUUCUUUGCUCAUAGUGAGUAUCAAUCUCAAACUUCCUUGUCAUUUUGAUGCAAAAUAACAAUAUGAAAAAACAUAUAAUC